rnacentral:rRNA from 1 species
UACGUAGGUGACAAGCGUUGUCCGGAUUUACUGGGCGUAAAGAGCGCGCAGGCGGUCGUUCAAGUCGAGUGUGAAAGCCCCCGGCUCAACUGGGGAGGGUCAUUCGAUACUGAUCGACUCGAAGGCAGGAGAGGGUAGUGGAAUUCCCGGUGUAGUGGUGAAAUGCGUAGAUAUCGGGAGGAACACCAGUGGCGAAGGCGACUACCUGGCCUGUUCUUGACGCUGAGGCGCGGAAGCUAGGGGAGCAAACGGG